UGAGAGAAAGAACCCCCAGAAUAUCAUCAUUAUGUUUGACACCAUCAGUGAAAGUGCUUGCAUACACGUACAAAGGCGAAGUUCCAAUGUCCCCAUACACUAUUCCAAUGCUCUGAAACGCCAGGUGCAGUAUCACAGACCAGUUCUUGGAGCCCUUCAAAACAGAAAAUAAAAAGAUAAAAAUAAAUAAAUAAAAUAAAAUAAAAAAUCAAAUCUUCUUUUUCCCAGUUACCAUGCAUGCAGAUACAGAAUAACAAGAAAAUGAUAUCAGGAAGUGGGGGUGCAGACCCUGGAGCUAUGGUGGCUUUGGCCAUGGACAGUCCCGGUCUCCAUGUCUAAGGAGUCCAUACGACGUAGUUCUCCGCAUGAGAGUUUCUUUGAUUUGAGGCCUUGAUCAUGGGUCUCGUCAGGGCUGUUUACCACAUCAGAAGACAUUUUCUAUGAUCCGAAAAGGGCUUUGAUUAGCCUGGAGGUUUAGCAGAAGGAGGAGAGGCCAAUUUAAAGGCACAGAAAGGUCUGAAAGAAGUGAAGAAGAAACAUGAAGUUCAAGGUGGGAGAUGUCGAUGGACAUCCCCCAAAUGUUUGCUUCUUGGUUUUACGCUUCUUACCUUCCUUGCCCUGCCCUGACUUUUGGUUGACAACCGCAUGGUUGAUUUUAUGAAUUAGUAAAUGAAAUUAUGAGUGUCCUUCUUCCCCAUUUAUUUUCCAAAUUUAGUAGAAAACGCGUCAUCAGUGAAUGGUUGAAUGGUUGAUAUCAGAAGCCAAUAAUUUGUUCUUCAAGUUUGGCAUUUUCUAAAUUUAUGAUAUUUUUUAUGGUAUUAAUUAAAAGAUAUUUUUCAUGGUGAUAAUUAAAAGAUAUUUUUGGAAAGAUGACUUCCAAUUAUAUUCCUUUACAAAUUUGAAAAUAUUUUUUGAAUUAAUAUAUUACUAUAUUUAUUAAAUUCCCAUCAAAGAAGCCAUGUUGCUACAAUUUUUUUGGCUAUUCUAUCUAGCUACAAUUGAUACUAAUGGGACAAUCUUUUGAUGCCUUCCCAUGUUUCAAAGCUCAUAAAUCAUUCCCACUUUCAAUAUACGUUUGUGUGGAAUGUCAAACACCUUCUCUGUCUGUCUCAAAUUUUUCUUCAAGAUAUUGUAGCCAACAUUUAUCAAAACCCUCUUUCCAAAUCUGGAGCCCUUAUCUGCCAUCACCUCAGUCUCACCGAUCAAGUGCACUACACCCACUUGUGCCGCGCUAUCAAUUACUUCAAUAUCCUUCUUAACAUCCUGUUGAUGUCUUUUUUCAUCUAUUUGCUUUGAUUCUUCUCUCUCGUUCUCACCAUUAAUCAACCCAUCUUGCAGCUCUCCAGAAACUAUGUCUCCACUAUUGUGUGUUAAUGUCACGGUCAUCAUUAUCUCUCCUCUUAUGAACUCCUUCAAUCUUUCAACCAGCAAUCUCUCAAAAGGCUCUUCCUCAAAACGCACAUCGGUGUACCCAUACCUCACCACACAUCGGAACACAUAAAUAUCAUUUGGUUCUACCCUGCGGAAGAGGAAUCGUUCCUCCACUGGAACCUUGCUUAUGGGGAGAGACUUGAUUGAGACGAAAACAAGAACUGAAUGCAAUGCAGGCACAUUUUCCAUGUAAUGCUUGAAGAUGGGCGGGAUGCCAUGAACAAGCUCAGAGUAGAAGAUGGCCAAUCCUGGUAUUCUACUAAAGUUUGUGCUCACUACUAAUUCCUUCACCACCUCAGGAGAAAUCUUGUGAUCCAGAUCAUAAUAGUAUUUCCUCCGGUACACAUCAUUCCAAAUGUACAUUAUGGUCAUCAGAACUAAGGCAAAGGCCAAGGGUAGAUACCCUCCUUGAUCAAACUUGUAGAGGACUGAACUUAGAUACAGAAGCUCAAUGCUACCAAUGACCACAACAUAUGAGAUCACAAGUAGGAUAUGGGUUUUCCAUAUCAUGAUCAUCACAAGAACCAGAAAUAAUGAGGUGAGGGUCAUCACGAACACCACUGCAAUCCCUACACCAACAAAGACUUGCAAUCAUGAUCAUUUUGAAACAUCACUAAGCUCGAGAAAAGCUGAAAAAUGAAAAUAUGAAAGAAGAUGUGGGUAGAUUACCAUAUGCAUUUCCAAUCUUUGUGGUAGUCUUAAACCCUGCAGUGACCCCUACACAAGCCAGCAUGAGAAGGUAAUUGACCUCAGGAAUGUACACUUGCCCUUCAUACUUAGUCGAUGUAUGCAUAAUCUUCACUCGAGGAAAGCACCCUAGUGAGAGAGACUGCUGGAUAAUGGAGAAAGUCCCAGAUAUCAUAGCUUGACUGGCAAUGAUCGCCGCUGACACAGCCACAACAAACAUCGGCCAGUACAGACCAUCUGCACCAGAGAAACCCCACCUUAACCAAUAAAAAAACUAACAAGAAGACAGAAAACAAACUCUAAAGCCAGAAUGCUUACGUGGUAUGGACUUGAAGAAAAGGUCAGCAACAUCCUGAUGGUGUUUCCGGAGAAAAGAGGCUUGUCCAGUAUAUGCCAAUACAAGAGCUGGGUAUGUGACAGCGCACAUACUUAUUUGAAUUGAUCGAACUGUGAAGUGGCCAACAUCAGCAAACAGCGCCUCCGUCCCUGCAUUUUCCCGAAAACAAUCUGAGAAAUUUCUCAAGUUAAUGAUGGAGGAGAAUUGAUUAAUGAUCCACAUCCAAACCUGUUAUGGAGAGGACGGCCCCACCAAGGGAAAUCCAGGCUUGUUUCUUGUUCCUUCUGAAGUAAUCGAUGAUGUACUUGGGAUUAAUGGCUUUAACAACUGUUGGAUCAAACUUGAUGAAGUUGUAGACCCCAAUGCCGCUAAUUAACGCGAACCAAACACAGAUUAUUGGAGCAAAACUGUAUCCAACUUUGUCAGUUCCAAAUCUUUGAACCAUGAAAAGACAUACCAAGAUGCCUACUGACAUCCAAACAAUCCUAUCUGUGUCCAAGAAAAAAUUUAUUUGAGUUAGAAUCAUUAUUUAAAUAAAAUUAUAAGAAAUGUAAGAAAUAAAAUUUAUUUACUUUUUUCAACUGAGGAAAAAAAUAAAAAAUAAAAUAAUAAUAAAGAAAGAAUGGUUAAUAAUUUAUUGUAUAUAAUAAUAAUAAUAAUAAUAAUAAUAUGAUUACAUAUAACCAUUUUUUUUAAAAAAAAUUAUGAUGAUGGGAAAUUUUUAUUGUAUUUAAUAAUUUAAACUUUUACCUUUUCAUCAGUCAUGAUUAAGAGGACAAAUCAAAAUAUUAUUAAGAAUAAUUAUACGAGGAUGUUAUUGUAAGUUGAAAGGAUUAUUUUAAAUUUGUCAACAGUGCAAACCCAUUAUUUUAUUUAUUUUCUUUUUCCUUAAAGAGGGUAAAUAUUCCAAGUUAAUAAGCCAUUGGAUUCAACACUUUUUUCUACACUUUACUAGUCAAAAUUGGACAAUCUGAUUUUUUUAUCAAUUAAUUUGGUUCAAUUCAAUUUUUUUGUAAUUAAAAGGAAUAAAAUAAUUAUAGAUUUACAAAUCUUUAAAAAAAAAAAAAUGACCUACAAAAAUACCAUUCCAUUUUUUUUUGAAAAAAUAAUUUUUUUUAAAAAAAAUUAUAUAAAAAUUAUCCAAAUGUUAAAUAAAAAAAUUAUUUUAGUAGUUGAUUUUAAAAGUUGAGAAAGAUUACCUUGUGUCAUUGAAUCUGUGACUUCCUUGAUACCACCCACAGCAGAUAAAACUAUAACAUGCAAAGUCAAAUGUCAAAUAUAUAUACAAUAAAAGACUGAAGGACAAAACUCAUUUUCUUUGUCAACAAAAAUUAAUAAUAAAGAAGAAAGUUGAAUGCAUAUUCAACCAUAUACGUAUAUCUACUUAAAUUAGUCAUAAGUAAUUUUCAAUGAUAAUAAAAGAUAACUUUAGAAAAAGCUAAGCACAAGAUGUUUUUUGGCAACAAAAAUUUGUAAAAGGAAAAGACAUUUAUUAUGGAAGAAAAAAACCUUUUAAUCUCAAAUUAACUAAAAAAGGAUGAUGUAAAUUAUGUUUGUUUUUUAUUUUCAGAGUAAGAAAAGCAUUUCCAAAAAAUGGUAGUGUGAUGUGGUUUUUAUUUUCCAAAGUAAGAAAAGUAUUUCCAAAAAAAAUGAUAUUGUGACAUGGUUUUUAUAUGAUUUUUACUUUCCAAAGUAAGAAAAGUAUUUCCAAAAAAUGGUAGUGUGAUAUGGUUUUUACUUUCUAAAGUAAGAAAAGUAUUUUCAAAAAAUAUAUGUGAAAACAAAGAUGAAAGGGAAAAAAAAAAUCCCUUUUAAUAAAUGCAUAAGGAAAAAUAAAGGUGUAUGACAUUAUGUCAUUAAAUUUGUAUGUAAAUGGAAAGAAGGAUAAAAACUAAGCUAACCUGAGAUGCAAGGAGUGAGGACACCAUCACCAAUCACCAUGGAAGUGCCAAGCAUUGUGGCAAACAAUAGAAAGAACUUUGCAGAGUUGCUCUUCUCUAGCUUGGACUUAAGCUUUGAUGCCAUCUGCAGUCUUUUACUAGGCAGCUCCAACCGGAAAUUGGAGACUUCUCUGUCCUCAGCUUGUUGACUAGGGAUCAACCCCACCUUGGCAUAUCGGCAUAUAAGAGAAUACAAAGCAAAUGUCCCUCCUGAAAAUUAUCCAUGGUGUUUAAAAGAAGUGUAUUCUAGGCUUAAUGAGCUAUUUUCCUCUUUUUUUGAGUUAUAAUGUGAACCACAUAUUUAGAGUUGAAAAGGCGGCAAGGAUUUAAAAAAAAAAAAGAUUCAUUGGAUUGAGUGCACAAUUGUUGAUCAUUAAUUGAUCAACCAGAUACGAGGGACCCCAGUAGGAGCCUGCAUGGUUAUUUUCAAGGGCAAGUAUCACAGUUUGAUACAUCAAAGUUGGCCUUCAAUGGUGUUUUUCACUCAUCUCAUCUAUGAUCAAGACUAGAAAAAAAUGGCAAAAAUAAAAAUAAAAAUCAAGAAAUUAAUAAACCAUUUUGCCUUGUUGGUAUGGAAAAGUCUUAAUAUGUGGCAUAUUUCUAAAAAGAAAAGAUGAUGGGUUCAUGCCAUAAAAGAAAAGAUAGAAAAAGAAGAUCACAGUACGAUACAUAUAAAUUAAAAUCAAAGGUCGUUAAUGAUCAUGAGCUCUCACCAUCGCCAUUAUCAGUGGCCUUCAACACAGUCAAGACGUACUUGAAGAGAGGGAUGAGGGUGAGGGUGUAGAAGAUGAUAGAAAGAACCCCCAGAAUGUCAUCAUUAUGUUUGACACCAUCAGUGAAAGUGCUUGCAUACACGUACAACGGCGAAGUUCCAAUGUCCCCAUACACUAUUCCAAGGCUCUGAAACGCCAGGUGCAGUAUCACAGACCAGUCCUUCGUAUCCUUCAAAACAGAAAUUCAAAAAAAAAAAAAAAAAAAAUCAAAUCUUCUUUCUCCCAGUUGCCAUGCAUAAUAACGAGAAAAUGAUAUCAGGAAAGGGUGGGGGGUACAGACCUUGGAGCCAUGGUGGCUGCGACCAUGUACAGUCCCGGACUCCAUGUCUAGGGAGUCCAUACGACGCAGUUUUCCCCAUGAGAGUUUCUUUGAUUUGAGGCCUUGAUCAUGGGUGUCGUCCGGGCUGUUUACCACAUCAGAAGACAUUUUCUAUGAUCUGAAAAGGGCUUUGAUUAGACCGGAGCGUUUGCAGAAGGUGCAGAGGCCAAUUUAAAGGCACAGAAAGGUCUGAAAACCGCGUGGUUUGAUUUUAUGAAUAAUGAAUGAGUAAACGAGAUUCCGAGAGUGUUUUUUUACCAUUUAUUUUUCAGAUUUAUUGGAAAACGCGUUAUCAGUAAAUAAACUUCCCCCAUAUUAGUCGGAUGGUUGAUAUCAGACCUCUUCUUGCCUUUUCUAAAUUUAUGAUAUUAAUUAAUAUUUACUUUUUGAAGAUACGACUUCUUAUUAUAUUCCUUUACAAAUUUGAAAAUAUUUUUUGAAUUAGUAUAUUACUAAAAAUAUUUUUUAAUUAAUAUAUAUACUUAUAUAUAUUUUUUAAAUCCUCAUGCCUACAAUAAAAAUGAUAUAUCUUCAUGUUUAAAAACCUUUUUCUAUUCUUACGUUUUAAGUGCAAAAACAAUUUUAAUAUUUUUAAUAUUUAAAUAUAAAAAAAUUCAAAUGUUAAAAAGAUUAAAAAAAAACGUUUUUUAAAAUCACUAUGAUUCUAUUUUUUUUUUUACUUUGUUUUCCAUUUUAAAAAUAAAAAUAAACAUUACAAUAAUUCUUUUUUUAAUAAUUAAGUUGAGAAAAAUAUUACAUUUAUAAUUUCUUUCAUCAUUAUUUUUUUUCUAUCAUCACAUUCAUUUAAUUAAUAAAAUUAGAUUUAAUUAAAUUAAAAAAUAAUAAUGAUUUUAAAAAAUAUUUUAAAUCUUUUGUAGUUGGCUAUAUUUAACUGCACAUUAAUAGAUACCCAAAAUUUAUUAUUUAAAAAAAGGUAAUAAAUUAGAGACAACGACAGCGCAACCCUACUCUUGGCUGUGGAAAGGACCAUGUACUCACGUGAUAGAAAGUUGAGAGGUGUCCAACAAAAGACGCGAGUGAAUUGUCCACAUGCAUGGGGGCGAGUAGAACUUUCCAAUGGGGUGAAAAUUCUAAAGCAUCACGUUCAGAUCGGUCAUAGCCACGUGUUACACGCAUUCUUUCUGCAUCAUCACAUAUCACAGGAAGCCUAUCACAGGUUGACCCUAAGACGGAUUGGGUAUAUUCAUGGGCCUUGUUUGGAAAAUAUAAUAUCAAAAAAAUCACAGCAAUCUGAGUUUAAAAAAUAUAAAUUUAAGUAGCUUUUUAAAAAUAAUUAGGAUCUUAACAUUUUAUACACUUUGGUGUACAACCUUUAUCUUUAAUAAUUCAGAUACUACUUUUUAAUGGGAUAAGUUUUAUCUAUUAUAAUUUUAAGUAUCAUCUAUUUUAUGAUUAAAAAAAAGUUAAAUGAACACAAUAGAUAAAGUGAUAAAAAAAAAAAGGACCAUGAAAUGAAACUUCUCCAUAUAAGAAGAUGCAUAAAAAAUAAUAAUUAAAAAGAUAAAAUUAUUGAUCUCUCUCCUCCCCUUCCUAAAAGAGGAAAUUGAUUAUUGUUCUUUUACAUUAUAAAGAUAGAAUUCUUGUCAGAUUUAUGAACAAAUAUAAUAUCUAAUUUUUUUUUCAUAAUGGAAAAGGCGCUCUCUCUCUCAUCCAAAGAAGAGAACAUUGACUAUUGCUCCUUUACAUUCAUAACGAUAGAAUUCUUUAGAAUUCAUUAACUAAUAUAAUGUCUAAUUCUUUUCCAAAAUGGAAAUGGUGGAUUGAAACGUUACCCUACCAAUGCCAAAACUAUCAAAUAAAAUAUGCCUCUUUUUCUCUCUUUCUCAUCCCCUUACUAGAAAAGGAAACUAGUUAUUGCUCUUUUGCAUUAUGGAGAUAAAAUUCUUAUCAAAUUCAUGAACUAACAUAAUGUCUAAUUCCUUUCUGUAAUGAAAAAGGCGCUCUCUCUCUUUCAUCCAAAGAAAAGAACAUUGGUUAUUACUCCUUUACAUUCAUAGAGAUAGAAUUCUUCAGAAUUCAUUAACUAAUAUAAUGUCUAAUUCUUUUCCAAAAUGGAAAUGGUGAAUUGAAACGUUACCUUGCCAAUGCCAAAACCGUCAAAUAAAAUACGCCUCUUUUUCUCUCUUUCUCAUCCCCUUGCUAGAAGAGGAAAUUGGUUAUUGCUCUUUUAUAUCAUAGAGAUAGAAUUCGUGUUGGAUUCAUAAACUAACAUAAUGUCUAAUUCCUUUCAAUAAUACGUGUCAACAGGGGAAUAUCAUGGACGAAUGAUAAAUGUGCACGUUUAUGUGUUUUUGUUUGAUGUCAGAAACUUAUUAGUCAUCUAAUACAAAGAAGAAAUGGUCACAACCUAAUGCAAUCUACGUGCCAAACCUAGAAACCUGGAAAUUGUAAACGUACAAACCUUGAAAUUCAGAACUUCCCAGAUUAUUAGGAAAAUAAAUUACUGGCAAACCUGUAUUGAAGGGACUUCUUGAAUGCUAUCCUCACUGUCAACCAAACUUUAUCGCUGAUAUCUGUUUCAUGUCACAACCAGCUACACCAAAAUGAAAGUGACUUCUUCAUUAGCACUGCAUUCCAUCACAAUAAAAAUUACAGCGUCCUCAAGAUUUUCUUUGACAAUUUACACAAUCUGCACCAUGCUGAGGGGAAGAAUGGUGCAUACAGUGGACAAAAACCUAUUGCCAAAAUUUUUGUGACUUCAUAAUCUUUUCCAUCCCUUGUUUGCUGGACCAGAAAAAUAUAAGUGUUUGCAUAUACGAUCUCUUAAUCAUAGCUUCCAGUUCCAUUCAAAGUUCAAUUGUUGCAAAAUGACCUUACUUGGUUUUGGCAUUUCUUUGGAGCCUGUCAAAAAUUGGAUUUUCUACCAGUUCUUUAGCUGAAGGCCGCCAAACUGGAUUUGGAUCCAGCAUUGCCUGGUAGGAUUAUAUAGGUGCUCUACAAAUGAAAUGAGUAUUUAUCUGGCACAUUAGGUCUUUGCCAUAAAAGAAAUUAGAACAGACAAUUGAUUUUGGGCCUUUGGUUUUGUUCUGCUACUUUCGGUAGCAGUUGUCCAAAAUCAUCCUCUUACUUCGACUCUCAGCAUACUCUCUUCUAUGGGUCGCUCCAGUAUAUAUUAGGUCUUUGUCAUAAAACAAAAUUAGCUUGGUCGGUUGGUUUUAGGCUUUUGUCUUUGUUUUCCUACUUUAGGCAGUGGUUGUCCAACAUCAUCCUCUUGACUCUUGGCAUACUCUCUUCUAUGGGUCAUUCUUCUAAUCUGUUCUCUACAUGUACCAUAUGUUACACCAUGUCUAAGGAGUCCAUACGACGUAGUUCUCCCCAUGAGAGUUUCUUUGAUUUGAGGCCUUGAUCAUGGGUCUCGUCAGGGCUGUUUACCACAUCAGAAGACAUUUUCUAUGAUCCGAAAAGGGCUUUGAUUAGCCUGGAGGGUUAGCAGAAGGAGGAAAGGUCGAUUUAAAGGCACAGAAAGGUCUGAAAGAAGUGCAGAAGAAACGUGAAGUUCAGGGUGGGAGAUGUCGAUGGACAUCUCCCAAAUGUUUGCUUCUUGGUUUUAUGCUUCUUACCUUCUAUGCCCUGCCAUGACUUUUGGUUGACAACCGCGUGGUUGAUUUUAUGAAUUAGUAAAUGAAAUUAUGAGUGUCCUUCCCCAUUUAUUUUCCAAAUUUGUGAAUGGUUGAUAUCAGAAACCAAUAAUUUGUUCUUCAAGUUUUGAAUUUUCUAAAUUUAUAAUAUUUUUUAUGGUAUUAAUUAAAAGAUAUUUUUGGAAAUAUAACUUCCAAUUAUAUUCCUUUACAAAUUUGAAAAUAUUUUUUGAAAAGAUAUAUAUAUAUUAAAUCCUCAUUCCAUAUCUAUACCUUCACUACAAACUUCUUUCUUGUUACCAAGCCUUCCGGAUUGAAUUUUGGCUAAUACAUGCUUGAGAAGAGAAGUACUGUUGCUACAAUUUUUUUUUAGCUAUUCUAGCUAGCUACAAGCAGCCUUAUCACUUUAUACUAAUGGGACUUUUUGUUGAUCAUAGUCUUCCCAUGUUUCAAAGCUCAUAGAUCAUUCCCACUUUCAACAUACGUUUGUGUGGAAUGUCAAACACCUUUUCUGUCUGUCUCAAAUUCUUCUUCAAGAUAUUAUAGCCAACAUUUAUCAAAACUUUUUUCCCUAAUUUGGAGCCCUUCUCUGCAAUCACCUCAUUCUCACCGAUGAAGUGCACCACACCAGCUCGUGCCGCUCUAUCAAUUGCUUCAAUAUCUUUGUCAACAUCCUCUUGGCGCCUUUCUUCAUCAAUUUGCUUUGAUUCUUCACUCUCCUUCUCACCAUUAAUCAACCCAUCUUGCAGCUCUCCAGAAACCAUGUCUUCAUUACUGUGUGUUAAUGUCGGGGUCAUCAUCAUCUCUUCUCUUAUGAACUCCUUCAAUCUUUCAACCAGCAAUCUCUCAAAAGGCUCUUCCUCGGAUCGCACGUCAGUGUACCCAUACCUCACCACACACCGAAACACAUAAAGAUCGUCUGGGUUUACCCUGCGGAAGAGGAAUCGUUCCUCCAUUGGAACCUUGCUUAUGGGGAGAGACUUGAUUGAGACGAAAACAAGAACUGAAUGCAAGGCAGGCACAUUUUCCAUGUAAUGCUUGAAGAUGGGCGGGAUGCCAUGAACAAGCUCAGAGUAGAAGAUGGCCAGUCCUGGUAUUCUACUAAAGUGUGUGCUCGCUACUAAUUCCUUCACCAUCUCAGGAGAAAUCUUGUGAUCCAGAUCAUAAUAGUAUUUCCUCCGGUACACAUCAUUCCAAAUGUACAUUAUGGUCAUCAGAACUAAGGCAAAGGCCAAGGGUAGAUACCCGCCUUGAUCAAACUUGUAAAGGACUGAACUUAGAUACAGAAGCUCAAUGCUACCAAUGACCACAACAUAUGAGAUCACAAGAAGGAUAUGGGUUUUCCAUAUCAUGAUCAUCACAAGAACCAGAAAUGAUGAGGUGAGGGUCAUCACGAACACCACCGCAAUCCCUAUACCAACAAAGACUCAUAAUUAUGAUCAUUUCAAAACAACAUUAAGCUUGAAAAGUUAAAAAAAGGCCAAGAAAUGAAGAUAUGAAACAAGGGUGAACUGUGUGGACUACCAUAUGCAUUUCCAAUCUUUGUAGUAGUCUUGAACCCGAGAGUGACCCCUACACAAGCCAGCAUGAGAAGGUAAUUGACCUCAGGAAUGUACACUUGCCCUUCAUACUUAGUUGAUGUAUGCACAAUCUUUACUCGAGGAAAACACCCCAAUGAGAGUGACUGCUGAAUUAUGGAGAAAGUCCCAGAAAUCAUUGCUUGACUAGCAAUGAUCGACGCGGACACAGCCACAACAAACAUCGGCCAGUACAGACGAUCUGCAACAGAGAAACCUCACCUCAAUGAACCAAUAAAAGAACCAACAAGAAGACAGAAAACAGACUCUAAGACCAGAAUGCUCACGUGGUAUGGACUUGAAGAAAAGAUCACCAACAUCCUCAUGGUGUUUCCGGAGAAAAGAGGCUUGUCCAGUGUAUGCCAAUACAAGAGCAGGGUAUGUGACAGUGCACAUACUUAACUGUAUCGAUUGAACUGUGAAGUGGCCAACAUCAGCAAACAGCGCCUCCGUCCCUACAUUUUCCCAGAAACUAUUUGAGAAUUUUCCGAGUUAUUGAUGGAGGAGAAUUGAUUAAUGUAUAUCCAAACCUGUAAUGGCGAGAACGAUCCCACCAAGGGAAAUCCAGGCUUGUUUCUUGUUCCUUGUGAAGUAAUCGAUGAUGUACUUGGGAUUAAUGGCUUUAACGACUGUUGGAUCAAACUUGAUGAAGUUGUAGACCCCAAUGCCACCAAUUAAUGCGAACCAAACACAGAUUAUUGGAGCAAAACUGUAGCCAACUUUGUCAGUUCCAAAUCUUUGUACCAUGAAGAGGCAUACCAAGAUGGCUACCGAUAUCCAAACAAUCCUAUCUGUUUGCACAAAGGAAAAUGGUAUUUAAGUUAGAAUUAUUAUUUAAAUAAAAUUAUCAUAAAUAAAUUUAUUUACUUUUUCAAACUGAGGGAAAAAAUGAUCAAUAGCAUGCUUAUAUAACCAUUUUUAAAAAAUUAUUUUCUAAUAAGACAUUUUUAUUGUAUUUAAUCAUUUAGACUUUUACCGACUAAGGAAGUGGACAAGUCAAAAUAUUAUUAACAAUAAUUAUAUGAGGAUGUUAUUGUAAUUUGAAAGGGUUAUUUUUAAUUUGUCAACAGUGUAAACCCAUUGGUUUUUCUGUUUUUUUUUUUGUUUUUUCCUUAAAAAGGAAAAGAUUCCAAGUUAACGUGGGCUGUUCAGAUGUCCAAAAGCUAUUAAUAUAAGCCAUCGGAUUCAACGCUUUUGUCUACACUUUACUAGUCAAAUUUGGACAAACCUCAUUUAUUAAUUAAUUUAUUUACAAAUCUUGUAAAAAUAAAAAAAAAAUAUGUACAAAAAUACCAUUCUUUUUUUUUCAAAAAAAAAAAAUUAAAAACUUAUAAAAAAAUUAUCCAAAUAUUAAAUAAAUAAUUAUUUUAGUAGUUAAUUUUAAAAGUUGAGAAAAAUUACCUUCCGUCAUUGAAUCUGUGGCUGCCUUGAUGCCAUCCACAGCAGAUAAAACUGUGAUAUGCAAAGUCAAAUGUCAAAUAUAUAAUAAGAUUAUGUUUGGUUCCAGAAAAUUUGAAAGAAAAUAUACGGGAAAGAAAAUAUAAAGAAAAAAUAGAAGAAAAAAAAAUGAAGGAAAAUAAAAAAUAGAUUAAAAGUUGAUAAAUUAUUUUUUUUGUUACUUCAAACUCAUUUUAUUUAUUUUAACUCAUUAAUAUAAAGAUUAAAUCAUUUAAAAAUAUAUAAGUUUUUAAUUAGUUUUAAUUAUAUAUAUAUAUAUAUUUUUCAUAAGACAACCAAAUAUGAAAAAAUCAUUUUCCUUUAUAUUUCUUUUUUUCUUAUUAUUUUUCGGAACCAAACACAAUUAAGAGAGUGAAGGACGAAACCCAUUUUUUUGGUAAACUAAAAUCCAACUAAAUUAAUUUUGGUAACAAAAAUUUGUAAAAGGAAAAGCCAUUUAUUAUGAAAGAAAGAAACCUUCUAAUCUCAAACUAACUAAAAAAAGAUGAUGUAAAUUAUGCUGGUUUUUUACAUUCCAAAGUAAGAAAAGUAUUUCGAAAUUAAAAAAUCAUCAUGUGAAAACAAGGAUGAAAAAAAAGAAAUAGGAUAAAGAAAAUAAAGCAGGAAAUAAAACUAACCUGAGAUGCAAGGAGUGAGGACACCAUCACCAAUCACCAUGGAAGUGCCAAGCAUUGUAGCAAACAACAGAAAGAACUUAGCAAAGUUGCUCUUCUCUAGCUUAGACUUGAGCUUUGAUGCCCUCUGCAGGCUUUUACUAGGCAGCUCCAACCGGAAAUUGGAGACUUCUCUGUCCUCAGCCUGUUGACUAGGGAUCAACCCCACCUUGGCAUAUCGGCAUAUAAGAGAAUACAAAGCAAAUGUCCCUCCUGUGAUAUUCAUCAGUGUUUAAAAGAAGUGUAUAAAUUCUAAGCUUAAUGGGCUAUUUUCCUUUCUCUUUUUUUUUUUUUUUUUGAGUAAUAUAAUGUGACCAUAUAUUUAGGGUUGAAAGGGCAGAAAAUAUCUUCUUCUUUUUUUAAAAAAAAAAAAAGAAAGAUUCAUUGGACUGAGUGCACAACUGUUUAUCAUUGAUUAAGCACAUACGAAGGAAGUUUCCCUUCCCCAGUUGGAGCCUGCAUGGUUAUUUUAAUGGGUAAGUCACACAAUUUGAUGCUUCACAGUUGGCUUUCAAAGGUGUUUUCCACUCAUCUCAUCAAUGAUCAACACUAGAAAAAAUGGCAAAAAAAAAAAAGAAAAAGAAAAAGGAAAGAUAGAAAAAGAAGAUCAAAGUAGGAUUCAUUUGAAUUAAAAUCAAAGGUCAUUAAAGAUGAUGAGCUCUCACCAUCGCCAUUAUCGUUGGCCUUCAAAACAAUCAAGACGUACUUGAAGAGAGGGAUGAGGGUGAGGGUGUAGAAGAUGAGAGAAAGAACCCCCAGAAUAUCAUCAUUAUGUUUGACACCAUCAGUGAAAGUGCUUGCAUACACGUACAAAGGCGAAGUUCCAAUGUCCCCAUACACUAUUCCAAUGCUCUGAAACGCCAGGUGCAGUAUCACAGACCAGUUCUUGGUGCCCUUCAAAACAGAAAAUAAAAAAAAAACAAAAAAAAACAUCAAUCUCCUUUUCCCUUUUCCCCAGUUGCUAUGCAUGCAGAUAUAUAAUAACAGGAAAAUCAUAUCAGGAUGGGGGGGGUG
rnacentral:lncRNA from 1 species